rnacentral:rRNA from 1 species
UACGAAGGGGGCUAGCGUUGCUCGGAUUGACUGGGCGUAAAGGGCGCGUAGGCGGUUCGUACAGUCAGACGUGAAAUUCCUGGGCUCAACCUGGUGGCUGCGUUUGAUACGUGCGGACUUGAGUGCGGAAGAGGGUCGUGGAAUUCCCAGUGUAGAGGUGAAAUUCGUAGAUAUUGGGAAGAACACCGGUGGCGAAGGCGGCGACCUGGUCCGAUACUGACGCUGAGGCGCGAAAGCGUGGGGAGCAAACAGG